rnacentral:sRNA from 1 species
GAUGUCGUUGAGGAAAAUGAAAGCAGUCGUGGCCAGGACUGGCGCAGCUGCCGUUUCAGGCGAGGGGCGCAGAAUGCAGCGGCGGCCAGCCUGGAGCGCGGGCCCUGGGGCCGCGGCCCGCGCCGGGCGAGGUGGCAGCACACCCUGGCCCCCCACCCUGCCGGCAGUCCUGAGGAUGGCCAGCAGAGAAACAAGAAAAUGGACUCCCUGGCUGCUGGAGAGUUGAAUGCCAGCCACCAGCCAUGGGUGCCAGAGUUUGUAGCCUAUUGGAGGAAAACACACCAAGACCAUCAUUGAAUGUCUAAAAUAUAUCUGUACUGGAGAUUUCCCUCCUGGAACCAAAGGAAAUACAUUUGUACAUGAUCCCAAGGUUGCUCAAGAAACAGAUGUGAGAGCCCAGAUUCGUCUGCAAUUUCGUGAUGUCAAUGGAGAACUUAUAGCUGUACAAAGAUCUAUGGUGUGUACUCAGAAAAGCAAAAAGACAGAAUUUAAAACUCUGGAAGGAGUCAUUACUAGAACAAAGCAUGGUGAAAAGGUCAGUCUAAGCUCUAAGUGUGCAGAAAUUGACCGAGAAAUGAUCAGUUCUCUUGGGGUUUCCAAGGCUGUGCUAAAUAAUGUCAUUUUCUGUCAUCAAGAAGAUUCUAACUGGCCUUUAAGUGAAGGAAAGGCUUUGAAGCAAAAGUUUGAUGAGAUUUUUUCAGCAACAAGGUUUGUAACCCUUAAAUAGACUUUGUAGUCCAUUAAGUUAUUGAACUGUGUUUGCAAUUUGGAUGCUUCUUUUUAACAGAAAAAAUUUGAAAAGCAGAAAGGUCAUCAGUUACUACCUCUCACCCAGCAGCAACCACUGGGCAUAUUUUCUUUCACUUGUCUUUCUGUGCGUAUAUUUAUUUACCUGAUUGACAGUAUAAAUGUAAUUUUUUUCACUUACCAUUAUAUCAUAGGCAUUUUACAAGUUAUUAAAAACUCAUUGUAACUGUAAUCUUAGUGACAGCAUAAUAUCCCACUGUAUGAAUAUAUACCACAAUUUACUUUGCCAGAAAUUUGAUUUUUGUUUCAUAUCUUCAAAGAUACAUUAAAGCCUUGGAAACACUUCGGCAGGUACGUCAAACACAAGGUCAGAAAGUAAAAGAAUAUCAAAUGGAACUAAAAUAUCUGAAGCAGUAUAAGGAAAAAGCUUGUGAGAUUCGUGAUCAGAUUACAAGUAAGGAAGCCCAGUUAACAUCUUCAAAGGAAAUUGUCAAAUCCUAUGAGAAUGAACUUGAUCCAUUGAAGAAUCGUCUAAAAGAAAUUGAACAUAAUCUCUCUAAAAUAAUGAAACUUGACAAUGAAAUUAAAGCCUUGGAUAGCCGAAAGAAGCAAAUGGAGAAAGAUAAUAGUGAACUGGAAGAGAAAAUGGAAAAGGUUUUUCAAGGGACUGAUGAGCAACUAAAUGACUUAUAUCACAAUCACCAGAGAACAGUAAGGGAGAAAGAAAGGAAAUUGGUAGACUGUCAUCGUGAGCUGGAAAAACUAAAUAAAGAAUCUAGGCUUCUCAAUCAAGAAAAAUCAGAACUGCUUGUUGAACAGGGUCGUCUGCAGCUACAAGCAGAUCGCCAUCAAGAACAUAUCCGAGCUAGAGAUUCAUUAAUUCAGUCUUUGGCAACACAGCUAGAAUUGGAUGGCUUUGAGCGUGGACCAUUCAGUGAAAGACAGAUUAAAAAUUUUCACAAACUUGUGAGAGAGAGACAAGAAGGGGAAGCAAAAACUGCCAACCAACUGAUGAAUGACUUUGCAGAAAAAGAGACUCUGAAACAAAAACAAAUAGAUGAGAUAAGAGAUAAGAAAACUGGACUGGGAAGAAUAAUUGAGUUAAAAUCAGAAAUCCUAAGUAAGAAGCAGAAUGAGCUGAAAAAUGUGAAGUAUGAAUUACAGCAGUUGGAAGGAUCUUCAGACAGGAUUCUUGAACUGGACCAGGAGCUCAUAAAAGCUGAACGUGAGUUAAGCAAGGCUGAGAAAAACAGCAAUGUAGAAACCUUAAAAAUGGAAGUAAUAAGUCUCCAAAAUGAAAAAGCAGACUUAGACAGGACCCUGCGUAAACUUGACCAGGAGAUGGAGCAGUUAAACCAUCAUACAACAACACGUACCCAAAUGGAGAUGCUGACCAAAGACAAAGCUGACAAAGAUGAACAAAUCAGAAAAAUAAAAUCUAGGCACAGUGAUGAAUUAACCUCACUGUUGGGAUAUUUUCCCAACAAAAAACAGCUUGAAGACUGGCUACAUAGUAAAUCAAAAGAAAUUAAUCAGACCAGGGACAGACUUGCCAAAUUGAACAAGGAACUAGCUUCAUCUGAGCAGAAUAAAAAUCAUAUAAAUAAUGAACUAAAAAGAAAGGAAGAGCAGUUGUCCAGUUACGAAGACAAGCUGUUUGAUGUUUGUGGUAGCCAGGAUUUUGAAAGUGAUUUAGACAGGCUUAAAGAGGAAAUUGAAAAAUCAUCAAAACAGCGAGCCAUGCUGGCUGGAGCCACAGCAGUUUACUCCCAGUUCAUUACUCAGCUAACAGAUGAAAACCAGUCAUGUUGCCCCGUUUGUCAGAGAGUUUUUCAGACAGAGGCUGAGUUACAAGAAGUCAUCAGUGAUUUGCAGUCUAAACUGCGACUUGCUCCAGAUAAACUCAAGUCAACAGAAUCAGAGCUAAAAAAAAAGGAAAAGCGGCGUGAUGAAAUGCUGGGACUUGUGCCCAUGAGGCAAAGCAUAAUUGAUUUGAAGGAGAAGGAAAUACCAGAAUUAAGAAACAAACUGCAGAAUGUCAAUAGAGACAUACAGCGCCUAAAGAACGACAUAGAAGAACAAGAAACACUCUUGGGUACAAUAAUGCCUGAAGAAGAAAGUGCUAAAGUAUGCCUGACAGAUGUUACAAUGAUGGAGAGGUUCCAGAUGGAACUUAAAGAUGUUGAAAGAAAAAUUGCACAACAAGCAGCUAAGCUACAAGGAAUAGACUUAGAUCGAACUGUCCAACAAGUCAACCAGGAGAAACAAGAGAAACAGCACAAGUUAGACACAGUUUCUAGUAAGAUUGAAUUGAAUCGUAAGCUUAUACAGGACCAGCAGGAACAGAUUCAACAUCUAAAAAGUACAACAAAUGAGCUAAAAUCUGAGAAACUUCAGAUAUCCACUAAUUUGCAACGUCGUCAGCAACUGGAGGAGCAGACUGUGGAAUUAUCCACUGAAGUUCAGUCUUUGUACAGAGAGAUAAAGGAUGCUAAAGAGCAGGUAAGCCCUUUGGAAACAACAUUGGAAAAGUUCCAGCAAGAAAAAGAAGAAUUAAUCAACAAAAAAAAUACAAGCAACAAAAUAGCACAGGAUAAACUGAAUGAUAUUAAAGAGAAGGUUAAAAAUAUUCAUGGCUAUAUGAAAGACAUUGAGAAUUAUAUUCAAGAUGGGAAAGAUGACUAUAAGAAGGUAAUUUAAAACUUAAAAUUAUUUAUUUGAUUGUAUUUUUAUUUCACGUGCUUAAAGAAUUUUCUUUUUUGUAGCAAAAAGAAACUGAACUUAAUAAAGUAAUAGCUCAACUAAGUGAAUGCGAGAAACACAAAGAAAAGAUAAAUGAAGAUAUGAGAAUCAUGAGACAAGAUAUUGAUACACAGAAGAUACAAGAAAGGUGGCUACAAGAUAACCUUACUUUAAGAAAAAGAAAUGAGGAACUAAAAGAAGUUGAAGAAGAAAGAAAACAACAUUUGAAGGAAAUGGGUCAAAUGCAGGUUUUGCAAAUGAAAAAUGAACAUCAGAAGUUGGAAGAGAACAUAGACAAUAUAAAAAGAAAUCAUAAUUUGGCAUUAGGGCGACAGAAAGGUUAUGAAGAAGAAAUUAUUCAUUUUAAGAAAGAACUUCGAGAACCACAAUUUCGGGAUGCUGAGGAAAAGUAUAGAGAAAUGAUGAUUGUUAUGAGGACAACAGAACUUGUGAACAAGGAUCUGGAUAUUUAUUAUAAGACUCUUGACCAAGCAAUAAUGAAAUUUCACAGUAUGAAAAUGGAAGAAAUCAAUAAAAUUAUACGUGACCUGUGGCGAAGUACCUAUCGUGGACAAGAUAUUGAAUACAUAGAAAUACGGUCUGAUGCCGAUGAAAAUGUAUCAGCUUCUGAUAAAAGGCGGAAUUAUAACUACCGAGUGGUGAUGCUGAAGGGAGACACAGCCUUGGAUAUGCGAGGACGAUGCAGUGCUGGACAAAAGGUAUUAGCCUCACUCAUCAUUCGCCUGGCCCUGGCUGAAACGUUCUGCCUCAACUGUGGCAUCAUUGCCUUGGAUGAGCCAACAACAAAUCUUGACCGAGAAAACAUUGAAUCUCUUGCACAUGCUCGAUAAUAAAAAGUCGCUCACAGCAGCGUAACUUCCAGCUUCUGGUAAUCACUCAUGAUGAAGAUUUUGUGGAGCUUUUAGGACGUUCUGAAUAUGUGGAGAAAUUCUACAGGAUUAAAAAGAACAUCGAUCAGUGCUCAGAGAUUGUGAAAUGCAGUGUUAGUUCCCUGGGAUUCAAUGUUCAUUAAAAAUAUCCAAGAUUUAAAUGCCAUAGAAAUGUAGGUCCUCAGAAAGUGUAUAAUAAGAAACUUAUUUCUGAUAUCAACUUAGUCAAUAAGAAAAUAUAUUCUUUCAAAGGAACAUUGUGUCUAGGAUUUUGGAUGUUGAGAGGUUCUAAAAUCAUGCAAUCUGUCCAAUUUUCAGUGAAACAAGUUUCCUGUUUCUGAUUCGCUGCUCUUCAUCCCAUUCCAAGCAGCCUCUGACAGGCCUUCAGGGUUCAGCAGUACAGCCGAGACUCGACUCUGUGCCUCCCUCCCCAGUGCAAAUGCAUGCUUCUUCUCAAAGCACUGUUGAGAAGGAGCUAAUUACUGCCUUGAAAAUUUAUGGUUUUGGUAUUUUUUUUAAAUCAUAGUUAAAUGUUACCUCUGAAUUUAUUUCCUUGCGUGUGGUUUGAAAAACUGAGUAUUAACAUAACUCAUAGUUAAAUGUUACCUCUGAAUUUAUUUCCUUGCGUGUGGUUUGAAAAACUGAGUAUUAAUAUCUGAGGAUGACCAGAAAUGGUGAGAUGUAUGUUUGGCUCUGCUUUUAACUUUAUAAAUCCAGUGACUUCUCUCUGGGACUUGGUUUCCCCAACUAAAAUUUGAAGUAGUUGAAUGGGGUCUCAAAGUUUGACAGGAACCUUAAGUAAUCAUCUAAGUCAGUACCCACCACCUUCUCCUCCUACAUAUCCCUCUUCCAGAUGGUCAUCCAGACUCAGAGCUCUCUCUACAGAGAGGAAAUUCUCCACUGUGCACACCCACCUUUGGAAAGCUCUGACCACUUGAGGCCUGAUCUGCCCAUCAUGAAGAAGCCUGUAACACUCCUCCGCCUCUAUCCUGUGUAGCAUACUGGUUUCACCAUCAAUCCUGAUUCCUCUCCAAGUGGGCAUUGCCAUGUGGAAGGCAAGCCAGGCUCACUCACAAAGUCAAGGCCUGCUCCCUGUAGGGUCCAACCAGACCUGGAAGAGCAGGCCUCUCCAUUUGCUCUUCAGAUGCCAUUUCUAAGAAAAGCCUAAUCACACUUUUUCCUGGAAUUGCCAGCUGACAUAUUGAAUCCUUCCAUUCCACACAGAAUGCAACCAAGUCACACACUUUUGAAUUAUGCUUUGUAGAGUUUUGUCAUUCAGAGUCAGCCAGGACCAUACCGGGUCUUGAUUCAGUCACGUGGCAUGGUUUUGUGCCAUCUGUAGCUAUAAUGAGCAUGUUUGCCUAGACAGCUUUUCUCAACUGGGUCCAGAAGAGAAUUAAGCCCUAAGGUCCUAAGGCAUCUGUGCUAGGUUAAAUGGUUGGCCCCCAAAGAUAGACAGGUCUUGAUUUCUAGAACCCGUGACUGUUACUUUAUAUGGCAAAGGAAACUUUGCAGAUGUGAUUAAAGCUAAGGACCUUAAGACAGAGUAUCCUGGGUGGGGGGAGGGGGGUCCUAAAUGUAAUCAUGAGUAAGAUUAAGAGCAAAUCAAUUCUAGUCAUAAAUUAAACAUCAACAAUAACCAAGAUAUUUUUAUCCCAAGAAUGCAAGAUUUCAGAAAAUGAAAAAUCUGUUGAUAAAUCAUCACUAUAAUAAAACCGAAGGGGAAAAAAUUUCUGAAAAAAUUCUAGCAGCUAUAUUUGAUAAAAUUCAACAUCUCCUAGCCUUAGCAAACGCAGUUUUGCAAAGAAUAUGUUCUUAAUGUUAUCUGUUGCUAAAUCAAAAUUAAACAGUCAUCUUAAUUGCAAAAUAAAACAUUUCUCAGUAAAUAUUAAAGCCAGUUACCUUCUAUCAACAUGUUAAUGAAAGUGCUAGUUGUUGCAGCAAGGAAUAACAAAGGCAAUACAAGAUCAAUAUAGGCAGUGAAACAAAAGUAUCAUUUGCAAGUUGAAACAGACGUCCCAAUUUUAAAUCUGGUUUCCCCCUGAGUAUGUAGCAUCCUUGGCAGCACUUCUGAGAGUGGCUGCUUUCAUUCCAAGAAGCCCAUGGGUUUGGAGAUGGGAUAGGUGCCUUUCUGGCUUCUCAUUGCUGCUUCUAGAUCAUUCUUCAAAUAUCCCCCUUCCCCACAUUGGAAUGAAUAGCCAUCACAGCAUGGAUGGAGGUUAGAAUGAGCCAGACUGCCUGGGCUCAAAUCCUAGCACACCACUCACUAGCUGGGGACCUUGAGCAAGUUAUUUGUCCUGUUUUGUUUCUGUUUCCUUAUAUGUAAAAGUGGGUAAAAUGGUACAUAUUUUGUAGGGUUGUUAUGAAGAUUGAACAACAUCAUUUACAAACUGCUUAGAAUUGCUUGCCACCUACUAAAUAGUGUGUAAGUGUUCAAGAAAAAGCUGUCUUCGUUUCACUCUUGUUGCAGUUAUCUUUCAUCCCCAGCUUGGUCACUCCCUCUUAUUUGUUGAAGAGUUUAGCUCCCGGUUCAGUGUCACCCCAUCACUAAUAAUCAUUGCUGAUUUCAAUACCCAAGUGAUGGUCUAAUACAACUCCUUGGCCUCUCAGCCUUUUUUUAUUUUUUUGAGGUGGAGUCUUGCUCUGUCACCCAGGCUGGGGUGCAAUGGCACCAUCUCAGCUCACUGCAACCUCUGCCUCCCUGAUACAAGCAAUCCUCCUGCCUCAGCCUCUUGAGUAGCUAGGAUUACAGGCAUGCACCACCACACCAGGCUAAUUUUUGUAUUUUUAGUAGAGACAGGGUUUCGCCUUGUUGGCCAGGCUGGUCUUGAACGUCUGGCUCAAGUGAUCUGCCUGCCUCAGCCUCCCUCAGCCCCUUUUUCUUUCCUCCAGUGAGAAGAUACUCAGUUCUAUGGUCUCAUUCUAGAGCCCGGUCCUUUUAAUAACAAUAACUGCAUCCCUCCAAAAUCUCAGUUUUAAGCAUCUCACUCUCCAAUAACCCCAUGGUGUCUACAAUUCUCCUGUGGUCCUCAACCCCAGCAAUUCUUUGACCCCACUGAGAUCUCAAUCCAUUGAUUCUAUGGCUUUUUCCCAGGUUGUUCCCCUGAUGUCUGUCCUUCUCUGCUUAUUCAACUUAAAUUCCAUGGCCCAUCAUUAUGUCACCCUCCACUGCAUUGUCUUCAAACUGUCCUGACAAUCCCCAGCCCUACUGGAAUCCAGCUCUGCCUCCUCCCUGCAACCUCCUUGCAAUACCUGCACAUCCCAUUUCCUUUGCUGUUUCCUCCUCAUUUCCCUGGCCCCUCAGUGUCACAGGUUUUAGUACUCACAGAGUCUGCACCUCUUUUCUUCUCUGUGCUCACUUAUUUGGUGAUCUCAUCCAGUCUCAUAGCUUUAAAUGAUCUUAGUUUGGGUUCUCCCAGAAGCAGAACGUAAAACAAUGCUUCACGUGAAAGUAAUCAGUAGGAAAUUGGGGAAAUUGUGUAUGAAAGAGAAAGCAGCCAAUGAAAAGUUUACUAUUAAGCCAGCUACGGUAAGUGGGCAAUUAGAGUUUGGUGCCCCAGGGAGACUCUGGGGAGUUUGGCCAAAUAUAUACCUCAGAAUUAUCCCACCUAAGGGGCAAGAGACCUGGAGUAUUUAUAUAACAACUUGCCAGGGUUACUGAGUGAGGGCUAUUCUAGCACAUGUUAGUUACUGGCUUGCCAUGUGUACCAGCACAGCUGAUCUCCACAGUUUAAAAAGAAAGUCUGAGCAACAUAGUGACACGCCAUCUUUACAUAAAAUUUUAAAAAAAUUAGCAAGGCAUGGUGGUACACACCUGGAGUCUCAGCUACUCGGCUGAGAUAGGAGGAUCCCUGGAGUCUGAGGGUUCAAGGCUACAGUGAGCUGUGAUGUGUGCCACUGCACCCCAGCCUGGGUGGCAGAGUGAGACCC